AUUGAACGCUGGCGGCAGGCCUAACACAUGCAAGUCGAGCGGAUGAAGGGAGCUUGCUCCUGGAUUCAGCGUCGGACGGGUGAGUAAUGCCUAUGAAUCUGCCUGGUAGUGGGGGAUAACGUCCUGAAACGGGCGCUAAUACCGCAUACGUCCUGAGGGAGAAAGUGGGGGAUCUUCGGACCUCACGCUAUCAGAUGAGCCUAGGUCGGAUUAGAUAGAUUGUGGGGUAAAGGCCGACCAAGGCGACGAUCCGUAACUGGUCUGAGAGGAUGAUCAGUCACACUGGAACUGAGACACGGUCCAGACUCCUACGGGAGGCAGCAGUGGGGAAUAUUGGACAAUGGGCGAAAGCAUGAUACAGCCAUGCGGAGUGUGUGAAGAAGGUCUUCGGAUUGUAAAGCACUUCAAGUUGGGAGGAAGGGCAGUAAGUUAAUACCUUGCUGUUUUGACGUUACCAACAGAAUAAGCACCGGCUAACUUCGUG
rnacentral:rRNA from 1 species